UCCUAUGGGAGGCAGCAGUAGGGAAUCUUCCACAAUGGACGAAAGUCUGAUGGAGCAACGCCGCGUGAGUGAAGAAGGUUUUCGGAUCGUAAAGCUCUGUUGUUGGUGAAGAAGGAUAGAGGUAGUAACUGGCCUUUAUUUGACGGUAAUCAACCAGAAAGUCACGGCUAACUACGUGCCAGCAGCCGCGGUAAUACGUAGGUGGCAAGCGUUGUCCGGAUUUAUUGGGCGUAAAGCGAGCGCAGGCGGAUUGAUAAGUCUGAUGUGAAAGCCUUCGGCUCAACCGAAGAACUGCAUCAGAAACUGUCAAUCUUGAGUGCAGAAGAGGAGAGUGGAAUUCCAUGUGUAGCGGUGAAAUGCGUAGAUAUUUGGAGGAACACCAGUGGCGAAGGCGGCUCUCUGGUCUGUAACUGACGCUGAGGCUCGAAAGCGUGGGUAGCAAACAGGAUUAGAUACCCUGGUAGUCC
rnacentral:rRNA from 1 species